UACGUAGGGGGCGAGCGUUGUCCGGAAUUACUGGGCGUAAAGGGCGCGUAGGCGGCCCGUUAAGUCCGCGGUGAAAGCCCGGGGCUCAACCCCGGAGGUGCCGCGGAGACUGGUGGGCUGGGGGGUCGGAGAGGAGCGGGGAAUCCCUGGUGGAGCGGUGGAAUGCGUAGAGAUCAGGGGGAACACCGAUGGCGAAGGCACCGCUCUGGCCGACGACCGACGCUGAGGCGCGAAAGCUGGGGGAGCGAACGGGAUUAGAUACCCCGGUAGUCCCAGCCGUAAACGAUGACGACUAGGUGUGGGGGGCGUCAGCCCUCCGUGCCGCAGCUCACGCAUGAAGUCGUCCGCCUGGGGAGUACGGCCGCAAGGUUGAA
rnacentral:rRNA from 1 species